GGUUGGCCAGACAGAGGGAUAGAGAUGGGAAAGAUGUGCAGCACGUUAUGGUGAUUAAGGAUAGAGAUAGAAAUAUGUUGACUGGUGCCAGUAGUGUGCUAGAUAGAUGGAUAUUCUCUCCUAGAUGCUUCCAUACCAACAAUUCAAAAGGUGGAGGCAUGCACUGGAAAGGAGAGGAAUGAAAUGUAAGACUGUAUAUCUUGGGUAGAGGGGCAAGAGUGAGGCUACUGGGAGAAGAGAGAGCAAGGGUGGAGGACUUUAAAUACUUGGGGUUAAUAAUCCAGAGCAAUGUUGAGUGUGGUAAGGAAGAGAAGAAAUGGGUCAAAGCAGGUUAGAAUGGGUGAGGAAGAUGUCAGGUGUGUUGUGUGACAGAAGAGUCUCUGCUAGGAUGAAGGGCAAAGUUUAUAAAACAGUGGUGAGGCCAGCCAUGAUGUACGGAUUAGAGACAGUGGCACUGAAGAGACAACAGGAAGCAGAGCUGGAGGUGGCGGAAAUUAAGAUGUUAAGGUUUUCUCUGGGAGUGGCCAGGUUGUAUAGGAUUAGAAGUGAGCUCAUCAGAGGGACGGCCAAGGUUAGAUGUUUUGGAGACAAAGUUAGAGAGAGCAGACUUCGAUGGUUUGGACACGUCCAGAGGAGAGAAACUGAGUAUAUUGGUAGAAGGAUGAUGAUGAUGGAGCUGCCAGGCAAGAGAGCUAGAGGAAGACCAAAGAGAAGGUCGAUGGAUGUCGUGAGGGAAGACAUGAGGGCAGUUGGUGUUCGAGAGGAGGAUGCAGGAGAUAGGCUUACAUGGGAAAGGAUGACGCGCUGUGGCGACGCCUAAAGGGACAAGCCGAAAGGAAAAGAAGAAGUCUUGUCUCAUGUUGAUCUACAGGGCAUAAUGAUCAUGAUAAUGAUUUAGGCUGGGUCCUAAAAUAUAAAAAAAUAACCAUCCAAUAUUUUUUGAUAACGCUUAUUUUGUUCAGGGUCACGGGGAGCUGGAGCCUAUCCCAACAAACUUCGGGCGAAAGGUGGACCCUCGACUGCUCGCCAGUCAUUUAGACUAGAGGGCACUUAUAUAGAGAGAGACAACCGUUCACUCUUGCAUUCACCUCAUCACUGAGUGGGAGUUGAACCCAUGUUGCCUACACAGAAGUCCAUCCAUCCAUCCAUUUUCAGAGCCGCUUCUCCUCACUAAGGUCGCGGGCGUGCUGGAGCCUAUCCCAGCUAUCAUCGGGAAACCGGAGUGCCCGGAGAAAACCCACGCAGGCACAGGGAGAACAUGCAAACUCCACACAGGCGGGUCCGGGGAUUGAACCCUGCUCCUCAGAACUGUGAGGCAGACGCUCUAACCAGUCGACCACCGUGCCGCCCUACACAGAAGUGAGGUUAGGACAUUUACUGUAUGACUGGCUGCCUGCCUAUCACCUGGCUCUGCCUGCCUUCCUUUAUCUACAUCCUAACUACGCUGUCACUGCCCUCUUGAAGGUUGGUUAACACACACAAACAUGCGCAUGCACACGCACGCACACACACACACACGUUUCCGUGGCAAAUACAUAUUUCCUUAUGGAACCAUCCGCUGAAACUUUAUAUUUUGACCUAUGCAAUUAUGACCUCAGUAUUUCUAAAACCCGUGUUACAGCACUGCUUAUACGUGUUGUUGUUUUUAAUGUACAAAAUCUUUAAUUCUCCUUGUUUUAUGUCUAAUUUGACAAUAAACUUCAACUGGGAGUGGUAUUCAGCAGCUUGAAGCCUCUUUUUUGAAGAAUUGUUUAUUUGCCAACAUGCUGCUUGUUUUGAAGUGGGGUGAAUUGAGUUUACUGCCACCAUACAGCGCUCGUAUCUAAAAUUUUUGCUCGCAAGUCACGGCAAAAAAUAAAUUCAUUAAAAAAUGUGUCGAACAACUGCUCGUAUCUCCAAAAACCUGUAAGUCGGGUCACUCGUAUCUCAAGACACCACUGCACUUCCUUUCCUCCUGAAACGACCACGUAUACUAGUCAUGAUCAUGCUGAAACUACUCAAAUCAACUAAAUACUAUCUAUUUUAUUCAUAUCAGUUAUCAACCACCUUCUGGCCACUUUGGCCCUCUCUCUGACCUUCUUUUCUCUCACUCUCUACCCUCUCAAAUACACACGCAGGCACAUCCACGCGCACACACACGCGCGUGUGUGUGUGCAAACACACGCACACUACUCUGAUGUCUGCAGUACAAAGUAGAAUCCAGUGGGGUCUGAUGAAUAAUUAAACCUUGUGUCGUAGCAUAAGACCAAUGUCUCGCCUGACUUAAGAGCACUCGGAUGUGCCUCUCUACUUUCCACUUCAUGAGAGUAGCAAUCUGGUCAACAGUCUGAUAAGGAACUAGAAAGUCAAAUGGACCUAACUAUAGUAACUUCUGGAGAAAUAGCAAGAAAAAUAACUUCAUAGGAUAAUUUUACUGCGGUGGAUCACUGGUUUGGAAAAACAAAACAAACAAAAAACAAACAAACAAACAAGCUCAAUUGUCUGCAAUGUCCUUCAGUCUCAUUAAGAUCUCAUGUGGCUACUGUAACUUACUUUACUAAGUGCCCAUCAGUGUUCUGCCAAGAAAUUUGUAGUAUUUUAUAACAUGUCUGUUUUCAAAGAAUAUCUACAAACCUCAAUUCCAAUGAAGUUAGGACAUUGUGUAAAAUGUAAAUAGAAAACAGAAUACAAUGAUUUGCAAUUUUAUUUCAAUCUAUAUUCUAUUAAACACACUAGAAAGACAAGAUAUUUAUUGCUCAAACUGAUAAACUUUUUUUUUUUUGCAAAUAUUCACUAAUUUUGAAUUUUAUGCCUGCAACACGUUCCAAAAAAGCUGGGACAGGGUGAUGUCUUCCACAGUGUUACAUCACCUUUUCUUUUAACAACACUCAAUAAGCGUUUGUGAACUGAGGACACUAAUUGUUGACGCUUUGUGUGUGUGGAAUUCUUUCCCAUUCUUGCUUGAUGUACAGUUUAAGUUGCUCAACAGUCAGGGGUCUCCCUUGUCAUAUUUUGCCCUUCAUAAUGUGCCACACAUUUUCAAUGGGAGACCCUGGUGGACUGCUGGCAGGCCAGCCUUGUAACCGCACUCUUUUAAUAUGAAGCCAUGCUGUCAUAACACAUGCUCUUGUCAGACCACAGCACACUUUUCCACUUCGCGUCUGAGAUGAACUCAGGCCCAGAGAAGGUGGCCGGUGGCCUUUCUGGGUGUUGUUGAUAUAUGACUUUCGCUUUGCAUGGUCAAGUUUUAACUUACAUUUCUAGAUGGAGCGAUGCACUGUGUUACAGUAACUGACAAUGGUUUUCUGAAGUGUGCAAUAUCCUUUACACAAUGAUGAUGGUUUUUAAUGCAGUGCCACCUGAGGGAUCGAAGGUCGCAGGCAUUCAAUGUUGGU